GACGAACGCUGGCGGCGUGCUUAACACAUGCAAGUCGAACGGUAAGGCUCCAGCUUGCUGGGGUACACGAGUGGCGAACGGGUGAGUAACACGUGGGUGACCUGCCCUGCACUUCGGGAUAAGCCUGGGAAACUGGGUCUAAUACCGGAUAGGAUCCUGGUGUGGAUACUGUGGUGGAAAGUUUUUUCGGUGUGGGAUGGGCCCGCGGCCUAUCCGCUUGUUGGUGGGGUAAUGGCCUACCAAGGCGGCGACGGGUAGCCGGCCUGAGAGGGUGGACGGCCACAUUGGGACUGAGACACGGCCCAGACUCCUACGGGAGGCAGCAGUGGGGAAUAUUGCACAAUGGGCGGAAGCCUGAUGCAGCGACGCCGCGUUGGGGAUGACGUCCUUCGGGUUGUAAACUCCUUUCACCAUCGACGAAGGGUUUCUGACGGUAGAUGGAGAAGAAGCACCGGCUAACUACGUG
rnacentral:rRNA from 1 species